UACGGGGGGGGCAAGCGUUGUUCGGAAUUACUGGGCGUAAAGGGCGCGUAGGCGGCCUUCUAAGUCAGACGUGAAAUCCCUCGGCUUAACCGGGGAACUGCGUCUGAUACUGGAGGGCUUGGAUCCGGGAGAGGGAUGCGGAAUUCCAGGUGUAGCGGUGAAAUGCGUAGAUAUCUGGAGGAACACCGGUGGCGAAGGCGGCAUCCUGGACCGGCAUUGACGCUGAGGCGCGAAAGCCAGGGGAGCAAACGGG
rnacentral:rRNA from 1 species